CAAAAUGAGCAUAGAGCAUGAUAUGAAGGAACUAUUUCGAUUCUAACAUGACAAAUACAAUAUAUUUAUAGGUCGAAGCGUACGAAAAUACCGUAAGACUGUUUGACUGUUCCCGUUUCCUCCCCGAGGAGUUUGUAUAUUACAUUUCAUAUUUGAUAAGUUUAAAAACUACGACCAGGGUAAAUAUAUGUUGUUUGAUAAAAAUAUAUAAUAAAAGUUUAUGCUUGCUGCUUAAAUGUAAAUGUUUAAAAGGAUUACGAUGGAAAUAACGUUAAUAUAAAAAGUCCGUGCGCAUGUGUCAAACAUAUUGUUUGUGCUCAUUAGAACACGGCUUUGUUAUCAAAGCGUAAUAAGGACGUCAUAUUAGAAUU
rnacentral:lncRNA from 1 species